CCAGUCCAUGAGCCUCGGGCAGAACUGGCGCCUCCAGCCCCACCUUUACCUCCUUUGCCACCCGAGAGGACCAGCGGCAUUGGGGACUCAAGGCCUCCAUCCUUCCACCCUAAUGUGUCCAGCAGCCAUGAGAAUCUGGAGCCUGAGACAGAAACCGAGUCAGUAGUGUCACUGAGGCGGGAGCGGCCUCGCAGGAGAGACAGCAGUGAGCAUGGCGCUGGGGGCCACAGGACUGGUGGCCCCUCAAGGCUGGAGCGCCACCUGGCCGGAUACGAGAGCUCCUCUACCCUCAUGACCAGCGAGCUGGAGAGUACCAGCCUGGGGGACUCGGACGAGGAGGACACCAUGAGCAGGUUCAGCAGCUCCACGGAGCAGAGCAGUGCCUCCCGCCUCCUUAAGCGCCACCGGCGGCGAAGGAAGCAGAGGCCACCCCGCCUGGAGAGGGGCACUCUAGCUCCUUCUUUUCCCACCACAGACGUCGUCCUUCAGCAGCGUCACAGAUUCCACAAUGUCUCUCAAUAUCAUCACAGUCACGCUAAACAUGGAGAAGUACAACUUCCUGGGUAUCUCCAUUGUUGGCCAAAGCAAUGAGCGGGGAGACGGAGGCAUCUACAUUGGCUCCAUCAUGAAGGGUGGGGCUGUGGCGGCCGACGGGCGCAUUGAGCCA
rnacentral:sRNA from 1 species